GAGCAGCAAGACAGUGAGCCUCACCAGGAGGAGAGGCAGUACUCUCUCCCACAAGACUGUCUGGAACUGGUGGGAGCAGACAUUUGCCAAAACUGUUGCUGAAAACCUGCUGCACUCUAUUGUUCCCGGCCACGCUAGGACUGCUCCAAGUGGCCGUGAGCCAGAGCAAGCAAACACGUUGGUGAGACUUGCUCCUGAGAGGUGCACUUGCAAGGAUAUACUGGUUAAUGCUUUCACAAGUCAGUGGCUUGAGUGAUUAUGAGCAACGCCUUGUGCCAGGUUAAGAGCACUUCUGUAUAUGCACACAGAGGGUCCAACCCAAUUCCAAUUAAAGCUUCCUCUCAAUCUCAAUGAGUGUUGAGCUAGGGGCAAAGUGUUUCCAGAAGCACUGCAGCCUUUUGAACUGCUGGUGGCAAUGCCACAUUUCUUUCAUUCAGAUGGACCUAAAGUGUCAGACAAAUACAUUCAAGAGCAUAUGGCCUCUCAUUUCCCACAGCUGAGAUCCCCUGCCCUUAUUUGUGGUGUCCAUGCUUCAUGGCCCCCAUCCAUCUGCUGCAGUUGCCUGAAGUCCAAGAGCAGAUUAGACACAGUGGGCAGAAGAGCAGUGGGUGCCUCUUUAAUGCAGGAGCCUCCAGCCUCAAGUGGGAGCCAGUUUGGUUGAUGCAAGGACAGUUGAUGAUUGUAUGACAGAGAGGUUUGACUCUCAGUAGCAAAGAAGCAGGGGUCGUAGUGAGACUGCUCACAUGUAGUAAAGCUUUUGUUAUGUUAUGAUGGUACCUAGAAGCCCCAACUGUGAUCUCCAUUGUCCUAGGUGCUGUAUGUAUGUACAGUUAAGAGACAGGCCCUGCUCUGAAGAUCUUGGUCUUACACACAAGACAGAUACAGGGUGUAAGGAAAAAGAGAGCAGAACAGAGGGUGCAGGGCAGUGGGAGAGCUGGGGAUAGACCCCAGGUCUCCAGAGUCAAAGGCUAGUGCUCUAACCCCCUGUACCAUGUUUUCAUGCAAGGAGAAUGGAUGAAGAGGAAAACGAGAAGCUAACGUGAUAUAGAAGCAAACUGGUUUGUUUCUAAGUUUUCCACGAGGUGUCAGCCCCCCUUCAAAGAUGUCAGCUCCAAAUGAAACUGUCCCAGGACAUUUCCUUAAUGUACUGCUCAGCUGCAGUCUGUAACACUGGACCGACCUCUUGGAAUGGUUUGGAAGACCGGCUGCCAGGAGAAACACCUUAAUUCUGUGGCUGCCCAGGAGAAAACGUGCACAGGGCUGUGGCUGUUUUGCAUGCAGGAAGCACUGGGCAUUUGACGAACCAUACAGCAGGGAGCAUGGCAGCAAGGCUCAGCAGGCCUUAAAGCAAAUGGAGUUGUGUUGCUAAAGGAGCACUCAAGGCAGGUUAUCAUAAAAAAUCACUUUCAUAAGCUGUAUUGUAAUUCAGUGUGGCUGGGGGUGCUUUCAUUUAGUCUGAUAUCCUCUCCUGAGACCUGGGUGCUAGCAGGUGUAACAUACGGCAGCACAGACAUGCACGGCUGAAAUCAGUCUUUGAGUUGCAGAGUUUUACAUGCACCCAGCACUGUUUUCCAUACUAAGUUGGUGUAUUUCAGUCCUGCAGCAUUAGUGUGCUCUGGGGCUAGGGAACAGGUCAGGAGACCUGCUUUCUGUUCCUGUCUCUGCUUAAGGAAAGAGGACAUGCAAAAGCAUUUUUUUGAGGGGAAAAAACUGAACCAAACUUUUCAAAAAUAGUAGGGAGAGACCAGACUGGUAAAAUUCCAGCUCCAAAGGUCAAAGCUGUAAGCAACUGAAAAGGCCACUUAAGAAUGGGAACUGUUAGGUAGCUUUAACUGCAGUUGUUCUUAUGCGCGUCUCCGCUAAUAAAUAACAGGACUGAGAAUGUUUGGUGAGGACAUGGAAUGUCCAGGUACUUAUGGGGAUGCUAAAGUUCUCUAGCAUAGACCGAUCUUAACAGUACACAGCAUCAUUGUGCAAUAGUUCUUAAGAGGAGUGGAGAAAACUGGAUCCAAUCGAAAUUUUAAGUAGGCAAAGGAACGGUCAUUUCUCCAACUAGAACGUGGCCAAGACAAUAGACUUUUAACACCUGUGUAAAGUGCUAACAGAGGUCAAGAUCUCUGCUUUACAUCUCAUCUAAAAAUGGCACCUCCUACUGUAGAGCUUAUCCUAGUACUAGACUCAGGCUAGGCAAGAACGCCACCUACCAAAGUGCAGGUGCCACCUCUGGCAGCACCAGGGAUUUUUUACUUUUUUUUUAAGUGCCUCCUACUCUAGUAUUGAGUCAGUCCAACUCGGCUUAGCUUUGGAGAUCUGACAAGAUCACACCCUGAAGUGGUACAGACACCGGUGUUAAUAAAGAAAGCUCAUUAAGCGGUAA